rnacentral:rRNA from 1 species
AGGGGAGCCGGAGGGAAACCGAGUCUUAACCGGGCGUUAAGUUGCAGGGUAUAGACCCGAAACCCGGUGAUCUAGCCAUGGGCAGGUUGAAGGUUGGGUAACACUAACUGGAGGACCGAACCGACUAAUGUUGAAAAAUUAGCGGAUGACCUGUGGCUGGGGGUGAAAGGCCAAUCAAACCGGGAGAUAGCUGGUUCUCCCCGAAAGCUAUUUAGGUAGCGCCUCGUGAAUUCAUCUCCGGGGGUAGAGCACUGUUUCGGCUAGGGGGCCAUCCCGGCUUACCAACCCGAUGCAAACUGCGAAUACCGGAGAAUGUUAUCACGGGAGACACACGGCGGGUGCUAACGUCCGUCGUGAAGAGGGAAACAACCCAGACCGCCAGCUAAGGUCCCAAAGUCAUGGUUAAGUGGGAAACGAUGUGGGAAGGCCCAGACAGCCAGGAUGUUGGCUUAGAAGCAGCCAUCAUUUAAAGAAAGCGUAAUAGCUCACUGGUCGAGUCGGCCUGCGCG